UACAGAGGGUGCAAGCGUUAAUCGGAAUUACUGGGCGUAAAGCGUGCGUAGACGGUAGCGUAAGUCGGGUGUGAAAGCCCCGGGCUCAACCUGGGAAUUGCAUUCGAGACUGCUCUGCUAGGGUGCGGAAGAGGGGAGCGGAAUUUCCGGUGUAGCGGUGAAAUGCGUAGAUAUCAGGAAGAACACCCGUGGCGAAGGCGGCUCUCUGGAACGCAACUGACGCUGAGACGCGAAAGCGUGGGGAGCAAACAGG
rnacentral:rRNA from 1 species